GGUUAAGCGACUAAGCGUACACGGUGGAUGCCCUGGCAGUCAGAGGCGAUGAAGGGCGUGCUAAUCUGCGAUAAGCGCCGGUAAGGUGAUAUGAACCGUUAUAACCGGCGAUACCCGAAUGGGGAAACCCAGUGUGAUUCGUCACACUAUCAUUAACUGAAUCCAUAGGUUAAUGAGGCGAACCGGGGGAACUGAAACAUCUAAGUACCCCGAGGAAAAGAAAUCAACCGAGAUUCCCCCAGUAGCGGCGAGCGAACGGGGAGGAGCCCAGAGCCUGAAUCAGCAUGUGUGUUAGUGGAAGCGUCUGGAAAGGCGCGCGAUACAGGGUGACAGCCCCGUACACAAAAGCGCAUGUGCUGUGAGCUCGAUGAGUAGGGCGGGACACGUGGUAUCCUGUCUG
rnacentral:rRNA from 1 species